rnacentral:rRNA from 1 species
AAACCAAGAAAUUUAGUCAUUCUUUCACGGUAAAAAGACAGUUAGGCGAAAACAAAAAUCGUAAGGAAUCAUUGGACCUUUAGUACAGGAGUAAAAUCUGAAUACUAAAAGUUAUACCUAACAUGGUUCAUUUAGUUGUUGAAUCUGUGAUAGCUUUAAGGGAAACUGGGAUUGGAUACCCCAUUAUUUCUAGUCGUAAAUUUAGUUUAAAUUUACCGGAGUACUACGAAUAAAAAGUUUAAAACUCAAAGGACUUGGCGGUGUUUUAGACCUCUCAGGGGAACCUGUCUCGUAAUCGACAAUCCGCGUUAAACCUAACCUUUUUUGGUAAUACAGCCUGUAUACCGUCGUCGCCAGGUAACUUCUUAAAGUAUAGUAGUUAGCUUGAGAAUUUAGUAAAUUAAAACGUCAGAUCAAGGUGCAGCUAAUAAAAAGGUGAGGAUGGGUUACAAUUAUAUAUUUAUAAAUACGAAACAAUACUUGAAAUAAAGCGUUAUUGAAGGAGGACUUGAAAGUAAUUUUAAUUAUAUAAAUAAAAUGAAUAAGGCUCUGAAACGUG